rnacentral:lncRNA from 1 species
AUUUUUUCUUCCCCAAAAUGAGAAUAGUAGAAAUUUUGGUGAACUGAGCACCAUAGUUAUAUAAUAUUUCCCUGCGAAGGUCUAGUUUGAAGAAAAAAAAAACUUGAAAACAAACCUAUGAGGUUGAGCCUGGUUGCUAUAAAGACUUUGGGAUGGUAUGUGUUUCUGGGAUGAGCUAUAUAGAAAGUUUAGUUGACUGCUGGACCUUGGAUAUUCUUACUCGGUUCAAAAUACACAAAAACAAGCUGGUACAUAUGGUGCUUUAUAAUGCAGUCGAGAGUAAGAAUACAUGUUGCUGUAGCCCCAUUUCCUUUACAAACCCCCGCACAAUUUCAAAAGUGGAAGUUACCGUGGCCUCUGGUUUCCCAGUUCCUCCGUGGUGUAAUGAAGUCCCAGGUUUUAGAAGCUGAAGCCAAGCCUAGGGUAGCAUCGUCUGUACGGUGGUGAGGCCCAGCACAGCGGUAGCUGCCUAGUGGGAAUGACCCCCUGAGCAUGCAGAGCCCAGAGUCACUGUCCAUCUGCGUUCCCAGAGAACAAUUGUGAAGAGUCCUAGAACAGGAACUCUGAAUCAGACUGUCAGGGGCCUAUGUAGCCAAAAUGUUACUAAAUAUAAAAUUCCUGUCGUCUUCAGUCUUCAUGCUUUGUCACUGUAAAAAGAACAAAAAGCAUUUUUACUAUAAUUUAAAGGAGCUGCUUUUUUAUAGCACAUACUAUUUCGCUUUGUACUAUAUUUGAUAGUUGCAGAAUAAUUUAGACUGUAGAAAAACUUUGUUGUAUUUGUACUGUUCUUGAAUGUUUCAAAGAAAGUGCUUUACUUGGUUGCCAUAAUUUUCUUGUACUGCUGUAUUCCCCUCCUUCCCCUGCUUCAUGGAAACCUGAUAUGAUACAUAUUUUCAGUAGUUUUUUUUUUUUAAUGUGUGUUCGUUUGUACAAUUUUUUUUUUUUGGUCAGUAUUCUGAAUGUUUACAUCUGUUUGACAUUAGCCAUUUAAUGCCUUUUUUAAAGGCGGUAUUACUCCUACAGUGUAACAGCAAAAUGUGAAAUCAACCCAAACAUAACAUGCAUGACAAACACAGAUUGGGGGCGAAGGCCCUGAACCUACAUAGACAUUUUAUAUCAGCAUACAGAAAAGUAAAAUCCUCCUUCAGUCCUCUACCAAAGAAUAUAUUAUUCCCACAGGAAAAACUCAGAAAAGGUGUGUAAAAUCCUCAGAAGGGGGAGCAGUUGAUUCAGUAAGACUGCGACAAUUUAAUACUGUUACGCUUGCUUUGAUACCUGACUAAAUGUGACUGAGUGCAACAAGCAUUUAAGAAAAUUUUUAGACAGUGUUUUGUUUAGAAUUCAGGGAUCAUGCAUUCUUUAAUGGUGCUGUUUGUUUUUUAUUUCUUUUCUACAAAGAAAACAAGUGUUGCCUACAAAAGUGACUGCUCACAAUACCAUAAGUUAAAUGAAAUGAAAUGUUUGUCUCUUCAUGUUUCUCUGUCUUUCCCUUUCUCAAAGUAACAACUUGGGUUUCAAUAUUAAGAUAUUCUGGAGAAAAUAAAGAAAUUAAACAUGAAA